GACUCUCGGCAACGGAUAUCUCGGCUCUCGCAUCGAUGAAGAACGUAGCGAAAUGCGAUACUUGGUGUGAAUUGCAGAAUCCCGCGAACCAUCGAGUUUUUGAACGCAAGUUGCGCCCGACGCCGCGAGGCCGAGGGCACGCCUGCCUGGGUGUCACGCAACGUCGCCGCGAACCCGCUCGCCCCCUUCCCCGGGGGAGCGUCGGGAGACGGCGGAGAUUGGCCUCCCGUGGGCCACGGCUCGCGGCUGGCCCAAAAAGGGGUCCCCUGGCGACGGCAGCCACGACGGGCGGUGGUUGGCAGCGCGAGCUCCUCUAACACCGUCGUGGUCGAGCCUCGUCUCGGGGCCGCGAAAGGCCCCGACGCACGCGUCCCUCUAAAAGCGACCCCAGGUCAGGCGGGAACACCCGCUGAGUUUAAG
rnacentral:rRNA from 1 species